UGGGGAAUAUUGCACAAUGGGCGAAAGCCUGAUGCAGCAACGCCGCGUGCGGGAUGACGGCCUUCGGGUUGUAAACCGCUUUCAGCAGGGACGAAGGUUUUCUGACGGUACCUGCAGAAGAAGCACCGGCUAACUACGUGCCAGCAGCCGCGGUGAUACGUAGGGUGCGAGCGUUGUCCGGAAUUAUUGGGCGUAAAGAGCUUGUAGGCGGUCCGUUGCGUCGGAAGUGAAAACUCAGGGCUUAACCCUGAGCCUGCUUUCGAUACGGGCGGACUUGAGGGAUGUAGGGGAGAACGGAAUUCCUGGUGGAGCGGUGGAAUGCGCAGAUAUCAGGAGGAACACCAGUGGCGAAGGCGGUUCUCUGGACAUUUCCUGACGCUGAGAAGCGAAAGCGUGGGGAGCAAACAGGCUUAGAUACCCUGGUAGCCACGCCGUAAACGGUGGCACUAGGUGUGGGACCCAUUCCACGGGUUCCGUGCCGUAGCUAACGCAUUAAGUG
rnacentral:rRNA from 1 species